rnacentral:lncRNA from 1 species
GACCAGUUGAGGGUUGAAAGGCGGGAGGUGUCGUUUUCUGCUGUCUUUGGAGCGAGCCUUCCCUCACAUGUUUCCUAGUGAGAGUGUCCUCAGUUUGCCAUGGAUACUCCCUGUCUGUCUCCCCUUUCUUGAGACUGAUGCUCCCUUCGCUGUAAAGUUCACGCCCAAGCUAAGGGGUUUUGUAUACAAAGUUACUGUGAGCACUAAAGAAAUGUUCACAGCAGCAGGGCUCUAUCCGUGAAACAGUAUCUACCAAUGGAAUCGAUAAGUUACAGUGUUUUAAAAGUUGAUACAAAGAGGACUGCUAUGUGAACUCAGUGAAUUACAGCUAUCAGCAUUAAUAUGGAGAACAAUAAUGAGGGGGAAGCACGUUGCAAAAAUUAUCUAGUAUAAGUAGCGUUUUUAGGGAGGUUUUAGUUUUUAGAUGAGAAGCUGUGAACUCAAAGUGCAAAGGUCUCAUAAAUGAUACAUAUAAAGUUUAAAAUAAUGGCUACUUUUACGGAAGAGGAGAUGGAGUGAAACAGGAAGUGUUCCAUUGUAUCUUUAUUUUUCUGUCCAAGUAAUCUGAAGAAAAUGUGAAAGCCAAAAGUUAAGGUAUGUUAAAAUUAAGUAUAGGGCACAUGGGUGUUCAAUUUUCUUGUAUGACAGCACAUGCAAGGGUGCUUGAAAUACUUCCAAGUAGCUUUUUUAAGGAAAUAAAUUUUAUCUAAGAAAACCAAUUAUAUUGUAUCUUGAUUUAUUCUGUUCCUACAUCUACAUUUUUACAUUUUAAAAGUAUCCCACCUUAGCUGUCAACCAAUCACUGUGUUAAAAUUCUAUCUUUAAUUUUCUGCCUCAAAAAAAGCCAUGUAGCUUGCCAGUCGGGGUGCACUACUUUUGCAGAUCUCUGAGUUCCAGGCCAGCCUGGUCUGGGUGAGGUCCAGAACAGCCAGAGCUAGAGAGCGAGAGAGAGAUUUCUUACACGUGCAACAUUGAAAAAAUACUAUUAUUGAUAUAAUUUAAUAUAAUCUAUAAAGAAAAUACUUGUCUUUGUUAGUAAAUUUCUUUGAGAACAAGCUUUUAGUAGGAUCUGAAUCUCAUUAAGAGAUUGGUGAAUUGUGAGCUUUGUCAUUUCCUGAAAAUGGAUAGUUUUUCAAUAUAAAUAACGUCAAAGUUACAUUUGUGCUGUCAUACAAAGUCCACCCCAAAUAAUAACUUCAGUGUUUUCCAUUGAAAAUGUGUGGAAAUGAGAUUAUACCAUGUGGAGCUUUCUCAGAAAGAGAUUCGAUAACCAAUGUUAUAUACUGUAUAUAUGUUAAAAAUUACAUGUAAGAUAUAGAAAGUAAGAAUCGUGCUCAUUUUAUGAUCUCUCUUUGUGCUGUCUAGAGUAUUACAUUUAUUAAUAAAAUAAUUCCUAGAUCUUAACCAAAUUCAGAAAGAGGCUUGAGAAAGAAAAUCCUGGGCUUAUCAAGUAGGUUGUUUCCAAUAUAUAUUUACAAUGUACUCAUCCAGUAAACUGCCAGCUUCCUCAAGUGCUCAUUUCCCUAGUUAGCUCUUCUUUCCACUUUCAACAACAGCCUCUUCAGAAUUUCUCCAUUAUUUUCAAGCCAUCUCUCUCACUUAUUUUUAGAAAACAAAAAAGGUGGGGGGAUAUAAACCAAUGGAUUGAUUCCUCACUCACAAGCCUGCCUGCAUAGGCAUCUGACUUGGCACCACGGAUUAAAUACUCCACUUCCCCCUGCCGUCUCUGAAGCACAUAUUUCUGCCUCUUCAGGAACUCUCAAUGGAUAUUUUAUUCCACUCAACAAGUUUCAGCAUUUUAUCCCCAUCAUUCUACCUUAUAAAAUGAUGAACUUCGUCAUAAAGUUAUCACUACUCAGUUUUUCAAUAGAGUGGACCAUUCUUUCUUUUUAAAAUGAACUUCUCUGCAGCAUUAGAGAGUAGUAAUCAUGGUUUCCUGAAUAUAUAUCACUUGAUUUGUAAAAUCACACUUUCCUGAUUUUCCUCUUAGAUCUCUAGCUUUUUUUCUUAAUCUUCCAGUCUAGACUAAUUAAUAAUCUUCUGCCUAUCACUUAACACCUAGAAGCUGUUCAAACUGAUUUGUUCCCAUUUUUACACAUACAUAUAUAUAUAUAUGUAUGUAUGUAAAUACAUACUAUGUAUUUACUGUAUGCAUAUCACUGUUUUAUCUGCAUGUAUGUCUGUAUAUCAUGUGUAUACAUGGCACUCAAAGAGGCCAGAAAAGGGCAUCAGACCCCUGAGACUGUAGUGACAAAUGAUUAUCAAUUGCCAUGAGUGCUGAGAAUGGAAACUAGGUACUCUGGAAGAUCAGCCUGUAAUCGUGACCACUGAAGCAUCUCACCACAUCCCUGUCUUAUAUUUUAAAAAGUUAUUUAUUACUGAUAUACACGUGUAUGUACACCAAAUGUACAGAGGACUUUUAGGAAUCUGUUCUAUUCUUUCACCACUGAUUCCAUUCAUGAAAUUCAACAGGCUUACCCAGCAAGUGUUUUUAUCCACUGCACUAUCCUGAAUCCCAUCUCACCUUUAACCAUCCGACUCUUGUGGUCUCGUUGGUUUCCCAGAAGUGGUUGUUUCACAUCCUCUUCUCUUUUUUAACUAUAAAGUCCACAUACCUUUAAAAUGUCUAUCCUAGAUAGUCCAAGGUAUCUCAUAACAUAUCCUAAACUAAACUUCUCAUUUCAUUAUACCUGUAUUUGCUUCAAAUCUCUAAAUGGUAUCAUCAUCAAUCCAGUGUAUAAGCCAGAAAUCUGGGUGUAUCUGGCCCUACCCUCCUAUAGUUGUGGAAACUCCAAUCAGGUUUCCUUUCUCAACUCUUUGUCCACUUCUUUCCAUCUCCAUCUCUUGCCUUGGCUCUGUGUAGCAGCCUUUCUGACUAUUGCUGUACAAUUUAUAACUCAUUCUUCUCCUAUAUCCAUAGUGACCAUUCUAAACCUUAACUGUCAUUCUGUUUAGUCUUCAGACCUGGAAAAUGUACAUGAUAUAUUUCUUCAUUUCUGGCCUGCUCACUGUGUCUUCCUCUCUAGACUGCAGCAAGACUUGCUCUCCCUCUCUGUAAUACUCUUAACAUUCCAGUUUCCUUUCCUCACACUUAUUUGAUUUUUAAUUUCUGUCUCAGUUUAACCAUUAUUUCUCUAAAAGCCUUUUUUUGAUCCCCCUUGAUUGGGUGACACACCCUCUAAACUUCCAUAGUGUCUUGUAUUUACUCUCAUAUUGUGCUAAUAAUACAAUUUUGUAAAUAUUUGACUCCCUUCCAGAGGAGAGCAGGGAUUCUUGGUAACAUAUAUAGCCCCAACACAGGGUAUGGUAUUCAUUACUUAAUUCAGCAACUAUUUCUUGAGGGAUAAUUGUAUAGUAGGGACUAAUACAGUACUUAUGUGUUGCGUGAGGAAUCCCAACAGUGAAGCGGAAAUUGUGUCCUUGAGAAUGUGGGAGCUGUAAGGCCGAUAUUUUAACAUACUAAUACUGACUUUUAAAGCCAAAAUUAAACUGAAUAUGAGGUUUUAUUCUCUUAAAUUUGUUUCACAUGAAAAUACACUAGUAUUUUUCAUGGUAAUUGUAACAGGUUGAAUGCAAAUAAAUAAAGUCAGCUGUUUCUUAUU